GAUGAAUGCUGGCGGCGUGCCUAACACAUGCAAGUCGAGCGGCAGCGCGAGUAGUUUACUACUUGGCGGCGAGCGGCGGACGGCUGAGUAACGCGUGGGAACGUGCCCCAAAGUGAGGAAUAACUGCCCGAAAGGGUGGCUAAUGCCGCAUAUGAUCUUCGGAUUAAAGUCUUCGGACGCUUUGGGAGCGGCCCGCGUUAGAUUAGGUAGUUGGUGAGGUAAUGGCUCACCAAGCCGACGAUCUAUAGCUGGUCUGAGAGGAUGAUCAGCCAGACUGGAACUGAGACACGGUCCAGACUCCUACGGGAGGCAGCAGUGAGGAAUCUUCCACAAUGGGCGAAAGCCUGAUGGAGCAACGCCGCGUGAAGGAUGAAGGCCCUAGGGUUGUAAACUUCUUUUAUAAGUGAAGAAUAUGACGGUAACUUAUGAAUAAGCACCGGCUAACUACGUGCCAGCCGCCGCGGUAA
rnacentral:rRNA from 1 species